UUAAAAAUUACUAUUCCAUUAUUGAAGAAUGCUAUCCAUUCUUUCGAUUAUUUUUCCAUUACACCCAUUACAUCCAUUUCAAAAAAUCACAAUAUCAAAAUCUAUUUAGUAUGUAAGAAAGUAGUAAGGGUUUGAUCACACAUAUACACACAUAAAUUAAAAACAAUUUGCAAAUGAAUUGAACGAAGCUGGGUUAGCAAACACUUUGCUGACAAAAAUUGAGAUUUGGGAGUAGUAGUAGUAGCAGAGCAGAGCAACGAAGGAAUCAUCAUUGGAUUGGACAACAUGGCUCAGCACACGAACAACAGAGAUAGCGAGCCAAAGAGAGGGAGAGAUUACUUAGCACAUUGUGGCCCAAUAUGUCCGACACAUCAAGUGGUGACGACGAUGAUGGAGACGAGGAAUGUGGGGUGGAGCGCGGAAAUGUGGUUUCAAACCUUGCGAACAAUCAACCAGUUGUUCGUCUGGAAAGGAUGAGCAAUGAUUUGUUACGGCAAUGGAAUGUGCCGCCGCCAAAUGUCACACAACAAACACCGGCACGCCGUUCAAAACGUGUGCAA